rnacentral:lncRNA from 1 species
CGAUUUUCAUCUUCUUCAACCCCCAUUGUUCUGUUUUCUUGAACUAGACGACCAGCCCCGUCGUUCUUCGUUUUCACCUCUCACUCACGACCACAACAACUAGCGAACUUCACACAAAAAUCAACCAUGGCUGCUUUCUUCUUUUUCUUCAGAUAAGAGAAAAAAAGGCCCUAGGAGAUCAUCCCUAACCAUCCACGCACACCCAGUCGCCGCCGCUGCCAUCUCCCGUGAAACCUCCAUCACUGCCGCGUCUUCCUCAUCUCUUCACCAGCAGCUCCACCGGCGAGUUUAGCCGGGAAACCGAUGAACUAGACUUCCUUCACCUCUAUCUCUAAUGCUGGUGAUGUUCGAGCUUCCGUCGUAGUUAAGGUUCCCGGUCCAGGUUGUUGUUGCUAAUUUUCAGUCAAGGUUCGAUGUAUAAUUUUGUUGGAAGUUCUACCAUUAAUCCGAUUUUAAGAAAAUUUCGACUCUAUUAUUGAGGUUUGACUCUAAAUUCUUCUUUUAGAUGUUCAUGAGCAAAUGUUCUGCGUUUGUUUAUUACCAUAUUCUAGUCAUUGUCAUGCAAAUCAUUUGCAUUCCUAAUUUUAUAUUUGUUGAAGUAGCUCUUGGAUUUUAAAUUUUUUAAUUAUAAGAAAUUGUGAUGCAACUGCCAAUAUGUGCUGAGAACAAAAUUGUUUAAGAUGUGAAUGAGGUUUAGCAAAUUAAUUGGUUAGGAUAGUGAUUAAAAUUAAUAGUAGGACCUCUUAAAAAUAAUUGAGUUUGGAUUGAAGAAAUUAAAUUAAUGUGAAUGUUUGGCUGACAUUUAGGCUUUACACGGACGUAGCCUUUAACGUGUUUAAAUUUUGGACUAUUGUUCUACCAUGCCAGUUUGUUCAAUAGAGUCAUUGUUCAGAUUAAUAUUUUGUUUGAUAUUUCCGUUAGUAGCAUGUUAGGCCGAUCAUACGAGAAGGCAAAUAUUAGAAAGUUUAUUUUAAUUUAUAAUGUUCGGAUAUAAGGUGAGAGGUUGUCCCUUAGUUAAAUUUAUUCGAAAAAUUCCCCGUGAAGUUCGUAAAUAUUAUUAUUCAGGUUAUACCCGAAGAACUAUGUAAUUAUUUUGGAGACCUUGACGAGCAUGGUGGAGAGAUUGUAGUAUAGGUUAGCUUAGGACUUUUCUUUUCUUUUCCUUUCAUUUUCUCUUAUUAGGAAGGGACGAACUUGAGUCUCUUGUAUGUUUAUUUUUUCUUUUCGGUGUUAUUUUUACCUCAAUUUGAAUAUUUUAAAAGGCAACUUGAUCAAGUCUGCAACCGUAUUAGUUACGGAACUUGGGGAGUGCCAACACCAUCUCCCGGAGUCAAAUAAAUCCCCUUACCCAAAUCUCUGGUGUAGACUUAAUUUUAGAGUUCAAAGUGUUUUGAAAGGAAAAUUAUUAUUUUUAGAAAAAAAAAUGGUGACAUGACACACCGAAAUGAAAUGUCAGGUGGCGACUCUGAGAUAUUUCCUUCUAAACAAAAUUCUUUAUCACUUUUUAAAUUGGAAAACCCUUUUCAAGCUUUAAUAAAUCUUUUUAUUAAUUUUAAGAGGGUUUAGUGAAGUUUGUUUUAAAAAAUGGGCGUGACAUCUCUGGCGACUCUGCUGAGGAGUUGCAGGUUCGAGCUGGUAUUUGAUCUUGAUGACUUUUAGGAUAUUCAGUUGAGGUAUUUGUUGUCUUUAUUUGCUUUAUUUGUCUUAUUUUCUUGUUUUUUUGCUUAUUUGUUUAUCGCUUUUCUUAAUGUGUUACUGUUUUAUAAACUGUCAUCAUUUUGCAUAACCAUAAGUCUUCUUUCUAAAACAAGUCUUGGAGUAUGCAUCGCGUGCACGAACUCUUUGUUGAGUCACCCUUAAUUUAGGAGGGAGGGGGUCGUUAGAUGUAUGGAGCGGGAGGAAAGCUUGAGCAGCCACCAUCGACCAUACGCUCCCCCGAAUUGUCUUGUUAGUGAAACUCAAUCUUAGGUCAGCCUUUAAGUCAUUCUUAUUUGCAUCAUAUCAUUUAAACCUAGCAGGGCUCGGUCCCAGGUAUCGUGUCCCUUUGUAGGAAGCCUAUCCAAUUUUUGUCAAAAUGGACCCGCGGCCCAAAAAGAUAUUUAAUUAUCCAUAUGUGAUACAUGUUGCAUCUUUGAAGGUAUAAAGGUUAUUGGGCGGACCGAUGCUUGGGAAAAAAGGAUGAAAGAUGAAGCAAGUAGGACCCUGUAAUAUUCUUCUUUCACUACUUUUUCAAAAAUAAAAAAAAAUCCAAAAGGAUUUUACACUUUCCCGUUAUUUUCCAAAAGACAAAAAAAAUAAAAAUAGAAAAUCCAAAAAGAAUUACACUUUUCCAUUAUUUUCCAAAAAGUUCAAAAGAAAAAAAAUCCAAAAGAUUUUACAAUUUUCCCUUUUUUCUAAAUUUCAAAAAAAAUAAGAAAAAGAAAAUCCAAAAAGAUUUUACAUUUUUCAUCAUUUCUCAAAAAGACAAAACAAUAUGGUUUUUCAAAUUAGUUGCAUUUUUAAAGGCUUUCUCCCAUGUCCAAUCUUCCCGAACUACGCGAACCUGAUUCUCGUCUCUCGGGACGAGAUACAUAGGCAACCCACAUAGGGUUCGGUCUUCCUAGUGAGCCUUAGGUUCUUGGCUUCGCGAGGUCUUAGCUAAUGCAUGUCUAGCCACUUUUGGCCACAUCGGUCAUUCUUGCAAAAUAGGGUCAUUUUAACAAAAAAUGGUACAAUAAACCAUGUCUUAGGAUCUUGAUUCCACAACUAGGAGUCAUAUUACUUUAAGGCACAUCCUUAUUGACUUUGCAUCCUUAGCCACUUCUGUCAUAUCGGCCGUUUAUGCGAAAUAUGUCAUUUCUACAAAUUGAUUCUGGGCCUUCAUUAUUGGGAAUGUGAAUCCAUACAGGCUUCAAUGAGGUAUUUCCAUAUCUUUGAAUUCAAUCUUGUUGAGUUUACACUUCUAGUCAUCCUUAGCUACAUUUUGGCUACGUAUGUCAUUUUACAAAAAUAGCCUUAAUCAUGCCUUGCAUGUGUCCAAUAGAAGGUGUCGUGGCAUCAAAUGUGUAAUGAGUCACUAAACUCUAUUUGAUUUUAUUUUUCCAUUCAGGUAUGGAGCAAUUUGCUAAAGUGUGAAUAUGACAUAACCUCAGGACCAUUC